UUUGGCAAUAGAUAGAAUUCACACUGUGUACACUGAUCAGUGGUUCUGCUUUUGCCAACUA
rnacentral:pre_miRNA from 1 species